rnacentral:rRNA from 1 species
AACGAACGCUGGUGGCGUGCUUAACACAUGCAAGUCGAACGAGAAAAUUUCCUUCGGGAAAUUAGUAAAGUGGCGCAAGGGUGAGUAUCACGUGAAUAAUCUGCCCUCGAGAUCGGGAUAACAUGGUGAAAACUAUGCUAAUACCGGAUAAGACCACAUUUCAUAAGAAAUGCGGUAAAAGGAGUCUCAAUCUUCACUCGAGGAUGAGUUCGCGCAACAUUAGCUUGUUGGUGAGAUAAAAGCUCACCAAGGCUACGAUGUUUAGCCGGCCUGAGAGGGUGAACGGCCACACUGGAACUGAGACACGGCCCAAACUCCUACGGGAGGCAGCAGUGGGGAAUCUUGCACAAUGGGAGAAAUCCUGAUGCAGCGAUGCCGCGUGAGUGAAG